rnacentral:lncRNA from 12 species
UGACAACACUCCCUCAUCAUCAUCAUUACCAACUGCUGCUUGGUCUUCUGCACUGCAUGUGACAAAUAUGACCCACUAUGCCCACCCCAGGGCCUGGGCAAGGAGCUUUCCAUGGGGCUGGAGGAGAGAGGAGGCAAGACUUUCAGCUGAACGGGUUCCCACCUGGCUCUGACGUCCCUCUUGGCCAGUACCUACUCUCAGACCACGUAUGGAGGAGACAAGAGGACCUGGGGUUAACACUGGGCUUUGGUGACUUUGGGCUCCAAUUCUGGCUCUGCCAUUUCCUGAGGCAAGCCCAGGCAGACAGGAAGCUCCUUCAGGCUCAGAGGUGACAACCCACCCUCAGGCAUCCUUCACAGCCUCAGGCCUUUCACCGACCUGCUGGGCUUGUCACUGAAGCAGCUCAGCUGACCACCUUGGGACAAGAAAAGACACAGUAACAUUAACAUCAGGCCAAACGGGUGACAUGUGGGUGCUGCACGCAGUGGAACACUACAGGGUGGAUGCCAGGGAUGGCCUAAUUGGAUCUGGAACAUAAAAGCUUGAGUUUAAAAAAUAUUUUGCGAACAACAUGUUAUUUGAUACCCUUUAUGUAAAAUGGGCCACGCAAGCACACACGCACUCACAAAAUGCUACAUAUUUUUCAUAAGCCCAUGCAUAUAUGUGAAAAAAAUUUAAGAGUGGCAAGAUCACUUCAAAUUCAUAUAAUAGUUGUUAGCUCUGAGAGUGAGAUAGGGCGUCAAAGAGGAGAUGAUCUGUGACUACGUAACAAGUUAAAAUGAGAGUGGCCUACAUGGUUUGGUGGGUGUGUGGUUUUUUUUUUAAGAUUUUAUUUAUUUAUUUAUUAGACUGAGAACACCAGUGGGGAGGGGCAGAGGGAGAGGUAGAAGCAGGCUCCCCACUGAGCAGAGAGCCCAAUGUGGGUCUCCAUCCCAGGACCCCAAGACCAUGACCUGAGCCCAAGGAAGAUGCUUAACCGACUGAGCUACUCGGUGUCCCGGCCUAUGUGAUUCUUUUUUAAGCACUGACACUCCAACUGUGGGGCAGAGGAGUGAGGCCAAUCCCUUCCUUCCUGCGGUUCCAUCAGCGCCCACCCCCGCUGACCGCAUAGCACACUGCAGGCGGCAGAGCACUGUCACCCCCCUCAUCCAGGGCGAUGCCCACAGUACCGCUGUGAGGGGU